GAUGAACGCUGGCGGCGUGCCUAAUACAUGCAAGUCGAGCGAACAGACGAGGAGCUUGCUCCUCUGACGUUAGCGGCGGACGGGUGAGUAACACGUGGAUAACCUACCUAUAAGACUGGGAUAACUUCGGGAAACCGGAGCUAAUACCGGAUAAUAUAUUGAACCGCAUGGUUCAAUAGUGAAAGACGGUUUUGCUGUCACUUAUAGAUGGAUCCGCGCCGCAUUAGCUAGUUGGUAAGGUAACGGCUUACCAAGGCGACGAUGCGUAGCCGACCUGAGAGGGUGAUCGGCCACACUGGAACUGAGACACGGUCCAGACUCCUACGGGAGGCAGCAGUAGGGAAUCUUCCGCAAUGGGCGAAAGCCUGACGGAGCAACGCCGCGUGAGUGAUGAAGGGCUUCGGAUCGUAAAACUCUGUUAUUAGGGAAGAACAAAUGUGUAAGUAAAUAUGCACGUCUUGACGGUACCUAAUCAGAAAGCCACGGCUAACUACGUG
rnacentral:rRNA from 1 species